rnacentral:rRNA from 1 species
CCCUUAGAUGUUCUGGGCCGCACGCGCGCUACACUGAUGCAUUCAACGAGUUUUUCCUGGUCCGAGAGGAAUGGGUAACCUUUUGAAAGUGCAUCGUGCUAGGGAUAGACUAUUGCAAUUAUUGGUCUUCAACGAGGAAUUCCUAGUAGACGUAGUUCAUCAGACUGCAUCGAUUACGUCCCUGCCCUUUGUACACACCGCCCGUCGCUCCUACCGAUUGGAUGAUCCGGUGAGCUAUUCGGACCUUCGCUUCGUCGAUUUUCGGCUUUGUGAGGGAAAGUCUCUCGAACCUUAUCAUCUAGAGGAAGGAGAAGUCGUAACA